GCUGGGCAUGGUGGCGGGCGCCUGUAAUCCCAGCUACUCAGGAGGCUGAGGCAGGAGAAUUGCUUGAACCCGGGAAGCGGAGGUUGCAGUGAGCCGAGAUCACGCCACUGCACUCCAGCCUGGGUGACAGAGCGAGACUCUGUCUCAA
rnacentral:SRP_RNA from 1 species